rnacentral:tRNA from 1 species
AAAGAGUUAGUUAAACUAUAACAUUAAAUUGUCAAAUUAAAAUUACCCUAGGUACUCUUGG